rnacentral:rRNA from 1 species
AUACGGAGGGUGCAAGCGUUGUCCGGAUUUAUUGGGUUUAAAGGGUGUGUAGGCGGUGUAUUAAGUCAGUGGUGAAAGCCUGCGGCUCAACCGUAGAACUGCCAUUGAUACUGACACACUUGAGUAUGGACGAGGUAGGCGGAAUUUAUGGUGUAGCGGUGAAAUGCAUAGAUACCAUAAGGAACACCGAUAGCGAAGGCAGCUUACUAGGCCAUAACUGACGCUGAGGCACGAAAGCGUGGGGAGCGAACAGGAUUAGAUACCCUAGUAGUCC